UUGCACCUUCCUAAACAUUUUGUUUCUCACUUACCCCACAGUCAGCAGCCCCUGGGAAACUGAGAAACCUGAGCAGCUAUAUCUGAAGAAGAAGGGAAGAGUAAGAGAAAUGGGACAAUUCACCCAAAAGGCUGCUCCCAGACAUUACUUUGGAAACUGAAGAGUGGAGACAUGCUUCAUUUCAUGAAGGAUUACUUCUUUAAUCAUUAAGGAACCAUCUCCAAAGUUUCCCGUGGCUUCUAGCAGCAGCAUAUGAAGGCACACAAACUCCCAGAUUCUCUGAGAGCAGAGGCAGCUCAAAGCCUGAGGAAGAAUCAGGACCACCGUCUCACCCACCAGAAAAACUCAUCAUGUUAUAACUGGAGUACUGCUCAACAAAAAUUGUUUCUCUCAGUUUCAGGAAGGAAUUGGUCUUCUGUGAAACUGAUGGAUUUAGCAGGAGCGAUGACAAAAACCAGCACAGCAGCACUAGACAGAUGCAGUGCAUCAAAGGGACCUCCUUUCAAGACUAGAAAAUAAGCUGGAAUCUUGCUUGCUAUAAUUUUGGGAUAUAACACCUUGGGUGUCAUCUAGGGAUGACUGUGUGCAAUGUAUUUUACUGUACAGACAAAUUUUCCACAUAAUCUCCCAGUUGUCACUGAACUGGCUUUGCAAUAAUAUCAACCAAAGAUUAUGUGAUAACUUCUGCUCUGUAUUUUUUUGUUCAGUUUGGUAGGGAUUUCUCUAAUGGAUCUUGAUCAAGGAUAUAAAGAGGGUCUAUCACCUCUUUGUGACACAGCCCCAAAUAGAAAACUAUUUUUUAAAAAGUGAGUGUGCUCCAGAACUUCCUGGUGAGGAAAUCAAGGGAUCUCCUGGAAGCUCUCAUGAGCCACAGUUAAGCAAAUGGGAGCAGAGUCUGUACUUUCCUGCAGUAUAUCACUUGUUAGCUCUCAGUCUGUAGGAAUUUUCUUUGUUCUUCUAAGAAGCAAGUAAUUAAAAAUCUGAAAACGGCAAAAUGCUAAGUGUUCAUAGAAGUCACAGAAUCAGAAGAAAAUUCUCUUCCUUGAAUAAGUUGAGGCCUGAUGUCAUUUGGUGGUAAGCAAAAAACCAGGAGCUAUUGGAAAUGAGACUGCCCACACAGAUGGAAGCCACAUCCAGGGAUGACAGACGUUUCUGAUGGAAUUGACAGGUAUUAAGGCAACCUACAUAUGAAGCUUCACAGAUUCAUGUUAUAUGUGGUUUUGACUGACCUCGUUUUAGAUACCUAAACUGUAGAUUUCUACCUCUGACCUCAUUGCUGGAGGCUCUUCUUGUAAUUGACACUCUGAAAGAGGUAUAUAGGUAGUUUUAGGGCAUGUUUCAUCUUAGCUGCUCUUGUCUUAGAUGAAUCUCAUUUUACAAAUGCAUAUUUCAUUUCACUCAUUAAAAAUUAAUUUUAGGCCACCAGUUCAGUCACAAAGCCAGAUCCACGUUAUAGUCAGUCACAUCAUAUCAAAUGUGAAGCUGAAAAUGCCAAUGUCCCAGCUGCAAAUAUCUUAGAACAAAAAAAUCUGAAAAGCUUCUGGUUCGUGGGGAAAAAGGAAAGCAGAAGUACUUCUAACAGCUAAAAAUCAUCAGCCACUUAGUAUGCUAUGAGGAAGCCAAGAGAUAUUGAAUUUGGACUACUUGUUACUAUGACUUCAUGCAACAUCAAGUAAUGAUUAAAGCAGGGUAUGAGGGAGCUGUUUUCACCUCGAUGAAAAGUGAUGGUAAAUCACAAAUCAUUGGUCUACUUGAACAACCUUCACCACCUCAGACACUGUAAGAAAGCCAAAUAGUGAUGUGAGGCCAUAUACUGAUGUUAAGAAAUAGUCCAUAAACAAUCUCUCAAAUAUUUACAACAUAAUACUUAAAAACAGGAAGAAAAACUGUAGCACUUUAAACUUUUCAUAGGUUAUCAUUUUCAACACACCUAAACAUGAAAUGAAAUGUCUCCUGGUUGUCUCAAUUCCACCAGAGCCUUUUAGAUUCAUUAAAGUGUUGAAAACCUUACAGGAUUAAUAAAUGACCCUCAUUUAAGAUAUGAGAAUUAAAGGCUUGCAGUCAGGUCGCUGUCUUUAAUUCCACAGGACAAAUAAGAAGUAUUUGGUAAGAGGGUAAACAGCAGCUACAUAACCAAACAGGAUUGGAAAGAACAGUCUGGGUCACCACAUCCAGUCUCAUCCUAAAAUCUCCUGAAUUUACAGAUCUCCAUCUAAAGAAAAUUUCUUUUUUUAUCCUAACGCCUUACUGAAAGUCUAUUGCAGAACCAUCAUCAAACCUUUAAGCCAAAGAUUAGAAUUUUUUUCUCUUGGUCAUAAUUAAUACAGGAAUUCCUGCAGUUUGUGUGCAGGUUAGACUAGCUGAGGAGAAUGAAAUAAAGGAAAAUUACCUUUUUUAUAAUCUCUGACCACCUUGCUUUCCUUAUCAGCUCAUAUGUCAUAGCAAACCUACUCAGUGCAACUACUUCUUCAGAAUGCUUUCUUGAACACCAUUAUUUCUUUGGCUGAAAGAGAAUACCUAUGUGCUGCUUUUGGCUGGGGUAGAGUUAAUUUUCUCCACAGUGGCUAGUAUGGGGCUACAUUUUGGAUUUGUGUUGGAAACAGAGGGAUUUGUGCUUGGUAUCACAGGAUAAUACACAGCUAUAACUGAGCA